rnacentral:rRNA from 1 species
UGAUCCUGGCUCAGAACGAACGCUGGCGGCAGGCCUAACACAUGCAAGUCGAGCGCACCUUCGGGUGAGCGGCGGACGGGUUAGUAACGCGUGGGAAUAUGCCCAAUGGUACGGAAUAGCCUCUGGAAACGGAGAGUAAUACCGUAUGUGCCCUUCGGGGGAAAGAUUUAUCGCCAUUGGAUUAGCCCGCGUUGGAUUAGGUAGUUGGUGGGGUAAUGGCCUACCAAGCCUACGAUCCAUAGCUGGUUUGAGAGGAUGAUCAGCAACACUGGGACUGAGACACGGCCCAGACUCCUACGGGAGGCAGCAGUGGGGAAUCUUAGACAAUGGGCGCAAGCCCGAUCUAGCCAUGCCGCGUGAGUGACGAAGGCCUUAGGGUCGUAAAGCUCUUUCGCCAGAGAUGAUAAUGACAGUAUCUGGUAAAGAAACCCCGGCUAACUCCGUGCCAGCAGCCGCGGUAAUACGGAGGGGGUUAGCGUUGUUCGGAAUUACUGGGCGUAAAGCGUACGUAGGCGGACUAAUCAGUCAGAGGUGAAAUCCCAGGGCUCAACCCUGGAACUGCCUUUGAUACUGUUAGUCUUGAGUUCGAGAGAGGUGAGUGGAAUUCCAAGUGUAGAGGUGAAAUUCGUAGAUAUUUGGAGGAACACCAGUGGCGAAGGCGGCUCACUGGCUCGAUACUGACGCUGAGGUACGAAAGUGUGGGGAGCAAACAGGAUUAGAUACCCUGGUAGU